AGCACUUCAAACCUGCUCUUCCACA
rnacentral:piRNA from 1 species